rnacentral:rRNA from 1 species
GCGAGUUACGAUUUGAUGCAAGGUUAAGCAGUAAAUGUGGAGCCGUAGCGAAAGCGAGUCUGAAUAGGGCGUUUAGUAUUUGGUCGUAGACCCGAAACCAGGUGAUCUACCCUUGGUCAGGUUGAAGUUCAGGUAACACUGAAUGGAGGACCGAACCGACUUACGUUGAAAAGUGAGCGGAUGAACUGAGGGUAGCGGAGAAAUUCCAAUCGAACCUGGAGAUAGCUGGUUCUCUCCGAAAUAGCUUUAGGGCUAGCCUCAAGUGAUGAUUAUUGGAGGUAGAGCACUGUUUGGACGAGGGGCCCCUCUCGGGUUACCGAAUUCAGACAAACUCCGAAUGCCAAUUAAUUUAACUUGGGAGUCAGAACAUGGGUGAUAAGGUCCGUGUUCGAAAGGGAAACAGCCCAGACCACCAGCUAAGGUCCCAAAAUAUAUGUUAAGUGGAAAAGGAUGUGGCGUUGCCCAGACAACUAGGAUGUUGGCUUAGAAGCAGCCAUCAUUUAAAGAGUGCGUAAUAGCUCACUAGUCGAGUGACACUGCGCCGAAAAUGUACCGGGGCUAAACAUAUUACCGAAGCUGUGGAUUGUCCUUUGGACAAUGGUAGGAGAGCGUUCUAAGGGCGUUGAAGCAUGAUCGUAAGGACAUGUGGAGCGCUUAGAAGUGAGAAUGCCGGUGUGAGUAGCGAAAGACGGGUGAGAAUCCCGUCCACCGAUUGACUAAGGUUUCCAGAGGAAGGCUCGUCCGCUCUGGGUUAGUCGGGUCCUAAGCUGAGGCCGACAGGCGUAGGCGAUGGAUAACAGGUUGAUAUUCCUGUACCACCUAUA